rnacentral:tRNA from 1 species
GAACCGAGUAGCUCAACUGAAUAGAGCACCGUCCUGCUAAGACGGAGGUUAGAGGUUUGAAUCCUUUCUCUGGUUCCCA